GACGAACGCUGGCGGCGUGCCUAAUACAUGCAAGUCGAACGAGAGCGACCGGUGCUUGCACUGGUCAAUCUAGUGGCGAACGGGUGAGUAUCACGUGGGUAACCUGCCCAUCAGAGGGGGAUAACAUCCGGAAACGGAUGCUAAAACCGCAUAGGUCUUCGAGCCGCAUGGCUUGAAGAGGAAAAGAGGCGCAAGCUUCUGCUGAUGGAUGGACCCGCGGUGCAUUAGCUAGUUGGUGAGGUAACGGCUCACCAAGGCCGUGAUGCAUAGCCGACCUGAGAGGGUGAUCGGCCACAUUGGGACUGAGACACGGCCCAAACUCCUACGGGAGGCAGCAGUAGGGAAUCUUCCGCAAUGGACGCAAGUCUGACGGAGCAACGCCGCGUGAGUGAAGAAGGUUUUCGGAUCGUAAAACUCUGUUGUUAGGGAAGAACAAGUGCUAGAGUAACUGUUAGCGCCUUGACGGUAGCUAACCAGAAAGCCACGGCUAACUACGUG
rnacentral:rRNA from 1 species